CCUCUUCCCCACUGAUGGAUUUUCCAGCAACUCAAAGUUGACUCCCGCUAGUAAAGUUACUAAAUGUGAUGUUAUUGCUCUAAUUAGUGGUGACAAAAGAUCAAUUAAUGUUAUAAUUAAAAACAGUGUCUAGAUCUGUUGUUUGUGGUGAACAAAUGUGACAAUUACUUUGUUCAUUGACAUAGAUGUGUUGAAUUUCCUCUCUAGAUUUUAAGGGGAUGCAUUUUAGUGCUGAUGUGCGCAUUUAACUGUGGACAGUAGGAACAAGGCAAGCAUAUUAGGGAAAGAAUAGGGCCCCUAAUGUCUAAGCUAGAGCCAUAUUUUAACAUACUUGACACCUUUCCUUGGUGCCUGGUGCUAUAUCAGCAACUUGUACUCACUGGCUAUGGAGCCUCACGCUUUUAAUAUUUUAUCACUAAAUGCUUUAAGUGUUUAUGUUGCAAAAAGAAAAGGAAAAAAAAAAUUCCCACUUGGACUCUCAGCCCACAUGAACAGGACAAUAUAUGAUAACCAUGUCAUUGAUGAUUUUCGUCCUAUGCAUGGCAGUGAUGUUUAAGUUGAUGGGGUAGAAUAGUGAGUAUGUGAUUUUUGCAAAUCUGGUUGGAUUUUCUUCUGAUACAGAGCAAGCUGUUUUUCAUACAUUGAAGCCUGGGAAAGCUAUGUUACUGUAAAAAGAGUAACCGUAUCUCUUUCCUGAGCUAUUGCCAAGCAGAUGUAGACUUUUGGAAUGUGCCCAGAAAACUUCUCCAGCUGAUACUUUGGUGACUUGUUCCUACUUCUGGCUUUACCAGCACCUAUUUAAAUAGCAGAGGAACAGGAUUUUGUGUUGGUAGGUCACAGUUUUACACGUUUCUCGACAAGCAGUUAAAUCUAGGGAAAGUAAUAUUGAUAGAAAUGAAGUAAACCCAAUUGCUUUUGAAGGGUAGCAGUGAAGAUAUGACCAGCUUUGCUAAUGUCAUUUUUUGACCAAAAAAGAAUCAAGAAAAUCCAUCUAAAAAGUUCUCUGAAAGAUUGGCAUUGAAUGUCAAACAAGGCAAUCCACAAUUACUAAAAGAAUCUCACCUUUUAACUUCAUCCCAUAAAUGGAUCAUGCUCAGUGGAUCUGUCUGAGCAACACGUGGUUUGAGUUUAAAUUCUUAGAUUACUGACUCCCACCGUCAUGCCUCAGUAUUCUUUCCAUGGUAUUACUACUGUAAAGGCUAUUAGACGUGGGGAAAUAUCAACAAUGUGAGGUUCACAAAUUUACCAAGGAAUGAGCUCUUUCUGUAACAUCAGCUCAGAAACAACAAACGCUAAUAUUAUAAUCUCAGGUAACUUGGUAACAAUGGAAAUCCUGUAAACCUUGAAGCUAGUGGGCUUUUGACAUGGAUGGUAAAAGAAGGAAGCUAGUUGAAUUCAUUUGCUCUGUUGCUGUCUAAAUAAGACAAACGAGAGAAGGAGGGAACAAAGGAACUAAAAUGUUUUUUUAGGAGGAGUUGGAAGAUGAGGAGUAAUACAACACGCUAGAUAUAUAUGUUAAAAACUUACAACAAAUCAUAGAUCAUACUAAAGGAUUACUGAAGUUUAAAAUAUGGCUGAGGGUAUAGAUGUCAGAUUUUUCUUACACAAUAGUGGGUCUUUUGUUUCAGAGUUCACUCUUGGCCAGAAACUCCCUACCACUGUGUUAAUUUCCUGUGGAUCUUUCAUUCAGCAACAGAACUAGAGAUGGGGAGCAGACACCCCCCCACCCCCAGGCUUUUUAAGACUGUGCUUUCUGUAGAUUAAAAAGAAGAAAGAAAAAAGAACAAACUUUUCUAAACAAGAUGUCCAUGUGCAUUCUUUAAGAUCCUUUGUGUAUGCUUAAAACGAUCCUUAAAAAAAGCUCUCUCCAUAAUUUUGAACCUCUCCUUUUUCUAAAGUCUUUUAUAGCCAUUUUUUUUCCUUCUCAGCAUGUGAACAAAUGUGUAACUCGAAUAGAUGUUACUUUGCUCUUUGCUUAGAUUGUUUUAAAAGGCUAGCUGUGUGGAGGAAUGAAGAAGGAAGAGAGGCAGGAGUGGCUGGGGUUUAUUUGUUCUGUGUUGACCUAAUGAGUGCAGGUCUUAAAAAAUAAUAAAUAUUUAUAUGUGAUCUUAAUUUUUAAUGAGUCUCAUAAACUGGCUGGUAUAGAAAAGUGUAUGAGAAGCCAUAUAUAUUAAGCUAUACAUAUUGUAAAUACAUGCACAUGCACACUAGAAUGCUUUAGCAGGGAAAAGGCCUUAUUGAUCUUGUUCACUGUUGUUUUCCUGGUAUCUAGAGCAGUGCCUGACGCAUAACUGGCACUCAAUGAAUAUUUGUUGAGUUUAAAAAAAAAAGAAAUAGGUAGCGUUAUAUAGUGGGAUAGCAUUAGAUUGGAAUUCAGAGGACCCGGAGUCUACUUCCAGUGCUGCCAUUAACAAAGUAUGUGAAGUUGCUGAAGUCAUUUAAUUUCUUUGCUCCUCUGUUGCUUAAAAACUGGAACCUUUGCCUUAGUGUUUUUUGUUUUUUUUUUUUUUAAUGAUUAAAUGAUACCUGAAGGAUACAAAAGUGCUUUGGAAACUACAGAGUGCUUUCAAGAAGUGUGAGUAUAUGUGUGUAUGUACAGAAAAUCCUUUAUCUCUUUGCUUCUCAAUUUCUUUUCUUAGGAAAAUCAGAUUAUUUAAAUCCCAUUAUGCACAGCUCUCCUCUGCUCUUCCUAAGCCUCUGUAUUCCAUUACCUCCAGUAAAUCAGAAAAAGGUGGUGAGUCAGGCUAUUGUAGAAGGCAAGGUCUGCUGUUUUUCAUGACCAUUUUACUGUGUGGAACUCUAAACUCUCCAGUGCUUAUGUCUCAUGGAGUUUGUUACCUGUUUCAGCCAUACGGGAUGUAAUGUUUGACAUGGGGUCUCCUCCAGAUGACCACUGCAAGAUUCUUUGAUGACCAGGUUAAAUUGAAGGAGGCUAAAUUAGAUGGAGUGAAGAUUAUGUCAAGAAAAAAAAGAAAGAAAGAUACGUGAUUAUGGCAACUUUGCCCCUUAGAAAGCCAAAGAGCAAGAGUGUUCUUUCAUUUAUUUUUAGUCAAACAAAAAUUAAUCUCAAAUAAUGACCUCUUGCACCUGUUCCCUUAGAAAGGGAAAGAACCUUGUUGGUCAAACUGAUUUGUGGACGAACCUGAGCUCUCACUUGCUAAUAAAAGAAUUAGUCAUUUUAAACAUA